AUUGAACGCUGGCGGCAGGCCUAACACAUGCAAGUCGAACGAGUGGCGGACGGGUGAGUAAUGUCUGGGAAACUGCCUGUUGGAGGGGGAUAACUACUGGAAACGGUAGCUAAUACCGCAUACCAUCAGAUGUGCCCAGAUGGGCUUAGCUUGUUGGUGGGGUAACGGCUCACCAAGACGACGAUCCCUAGCUGGUCUGUGAGGAUGACCAGCCAAACUGGAACGGGAACACGGUCCAGACUCCUACGGUAGGCAGCGUUGGGGAAUAUUGCACAAUGGGCGCAAGCCUGAGGCAGCCAGGCCGCUUGUAUGAAGAGGGCCUUCGGGUUGUAAAGUACUUUCAGCGGGGAGGCGUUACCCGCAGAAGAAGCACCGGCUAACUCCGUGCCAGCAGCCGCGGUAAUAC
rnacentral:rRNA from 1 species